rnacentral:lncRNA from 1 species
UUUUCCUCUUGCCACUUCAAAAUUCUCGCUGUGCAUUGUUUUUUUUUUUUCCCUUCAAAGGAUUCUUCACCAUAGAUGGACUUGUCAAAUUUGACCUGAAACAAAGCUAAAACAUGUGCUAGAUAAUUCAGCCCUCAUCUGUGCUGGCAUCUGCUUCUGCUUCACGUAGCUACAUAUUGACAUGAAAGGAAGAAACAUCUGUUUCAGGUACUGUAAUGCUUCACGAUCCAGCUAUUUCAUACAAGUCUGUGGUAGUCUUCACAUGGAUCUUUCAGAUACGUUUUAUUAGCACCACUACACAGAAGCUGUAAAACAGAGGGGAAUCAUGUCGCAGGUCUCAAUCGUGGGUCCGUGAGCACAAGGACUGCAGGAUGUAUAACUACUUG